GAACGCUGGCGGCAGGCUUAACACAUGCAAGUCGAGCGGGCGUAGCAAUACGUCAGCGGCAGACGGGUGAGUAACGCGUGGGAACAUACCUUUUGGUUCGGAACAACACAGGGAAACUUGUGCUAAUACCGGAUAAGCCCUUACGGGGAAAGAUUUAUCGCCGAAAGAUUGGCCCGCGUCUGAUUAGCUAGUUGGUGAGGUAACGGCUCACCAAGGCGACGAUCAGUAGCUGGUCUGAGAGGAUGAUCAGCCACAUUGGGACUGAGACACGGCCCAAACUCCUACGGGAGGCAGCAGUGGGGAAUAUUGGACAAUGGGCGAAAGCCUGAUCCAGCCAUGCCGCGUGAGUGAUGAAGGCCCUAGGGUUGUAAAGCUCUUUUGUGCGGGAAGAUAAUGACGGUACCGCAAGAAUAAGCCCCGGCUAACUUCGU
rnacentral:rRNA from 1 species